AUGGAACAUGUGCACAACGGGAGCCUUGCAUCUGCUGAAAACGUGGCACAGCAAACUAUAAGUUGUUCAGGACAAUCUUGGAGCAGAUCAUUCAGCCAGUGUGAGGGGAAGAAGAGCAGAGAGGAAGAAGAGCUGAGAAAGGUGGCCGUUAUUGAUAUAUUUGACAAAAUUUAUAUGAGUCAGAGAGAGAGAAAAUUGAAGUUAUAUUACAAGAAAGGAAGAAAUGGAGCAUUAUUAAGAAUUCUACUAUAUUAUUGAAAUAGAAAAACCCUAACAAAUAAAGGAGGAGAGGGAUAGAUUUCUGAAGACUUUGUGGUAUCUCACUGCCCUGUUAUGCAACUUAAAACCGGUCCAAAUAUACGGAGGCAUCUUACAGCACCAGUUCACAAGACAAAGCAAUGUACUUUUUUCUUUUUCUUGGGUGGCAUCUCUAAUCAGAUCUCCCUGGCCGUAGAGUGGCUGAAUUCUUUCUUCUGGCUAUGUUACUGUGUUGGUUUAAAUCCCAGCAGGAAGAUUAAACCAUUUGUGUUACCUUGUUCCACCUUCGGCCUGUCAUUCUCCUGCUGAAACCAUGCACCUGCCAGGAUGUAGAGGGUAUGGAAUUAAACAGUGGUAGAAACUCCACCCCUUUUCUCUCUGACCACAAUAGUUACCUUCAUAUUUCUA